rnacentral:rRNA from 1 species
AGAGUUUGAUCAUGGCUCAGAACGAACGCUGGCGGCAGGCCUAACACAUGCAAGUCGAGCGCCCGCAAGGGAGCGGCAGACGGGUGAGUAACGCGUGGGAACGUGCCCUUUGGUUCGGAAUAUUCCCGGGAAACUGGGAGCAAAACCGGAUAAGCCCUUCGGGGGAAAGUUUACGCCAAAGGAUCGGCCCGCGUUAGAUUAGGUAGUUGGUGGGGUAACGGCCUACCAAGCCUACGAUCUAUAGCUGAUCUGAGAGGAUGAUCAGCCACACUGGGACUGAGACACGGCCCAGACUCCUACGGGAGGCAGCAGUGGGGAAUCUUGGACAAUGGGCGCAAGCCUGAUCCAGCCAUGCCGCGUGGAUGACUGAAGGCCCUAGGGUUGUAAAGUCCUUUCGACGGGGACGAUAAUGACGGUACCCGUAGAAGAAGCCCCGGCUAACUUCGUGCCAGCAGCCGCGGUAAUACGAAGGGGGCUAGCGUUGUUCGGAUUUACUGGGCGUAAAGGGCGCGUAGGCGGAUUUUUAAGUCGGGGGUGAAAUCCCGGAGCUCAACUCCGGAACUGCCUUCGAUACUGAAAGUCUGGAGCACGGUAGAGGUGAGUGGAAUUCCGAGUGUAGAGGUGAAAUUCGUAGAUAUUCGGAGGAACACCAGUGGCGAAGGCGGCUCACUGGACCGUUGCUGACGCUGAGGCGCGAAAGCGUGGGGAGCAAACAGGAUUAGAUACCCCGGUAGU